rnacentral:rRNA from 1 species
UACGUAGGGUGCGAGCGUUGUCCGGAAUUAUUGGGCGUAAAGAGCGUGUAGGCGGCUAUACAGGUCCGUUGUGAAAACUCGAGGCUCAACCUCGAGACGCCGAUGGAAACCGUAUGGCUAGAGUCCGGAAGAGGAGAGCGGAAUUCCUGGUGUAGCGGUGAAAUGCGCAGAUAUCAGGAGGAACACCGGUGGCGAAGGCGGCUAUCUGGACAGAGUCUGACGCUGAGGCGCGAAAGCUAGGGGAGCAAACAGG